UUUUAAAAAUAGAUAAACUGAUGUGAGAGGAGGUCAGAACAAGAAGGAUGUCACGCAUUUGGAGAAGGAGAUGGAAAUGCUUGUGAUGACUCACAGUUUCUAAUGGAGCUCAUUCUUCAGUUUGUGCCUGGUCUCCAAUGAAGCUUCAUUUUUCAGCACAAACAAACUGUACUCAUGCAUUAGAAGGUAUCAUGACAAAACUUUCCUGUUCGCUGAAAAUCAGCAUUUUUCUCAUUCUUCAAGUGGUCUUUCACAUUAUCUUUGCCAUAGGCCACUGCAUGUUUAGAAGAUAAAGACCUUCACCUGAUUUCAAGGAGGAAGACAAUGCAGAGCAUUAAGAACAGGUGUGUUAGAUUUGUAGUAAUUGGUACUGCUUGAGGUGCUGUCUGGACAGGUAUCAUUAAAGAGCAUUGCAUAUUCUUGGAGACAAGAAGUAUAAAUACUGCAUAUAACUCAAAGACAGUAAAUAAGUAGUAAAUUGAUGUUAACUGCUACGUGUGGUUUGUGAUAAGAAGAAGUGUAGCAGCAGGCAAGUACUGUGUGCUCGGAUGAUCACUACCACUAAAUACAAGCAGAGGCAGGUCUGCCUUGAAAUGGAAAUGCUGGAAGAAGAAUACAAGCAGGAUUUGGUCUAUAACUUCCAGGUACAAAAAAGUCACUUCUCGGAAGAGGUAGCUAAUAAUUUCCUUUCUGAAAUAGGAAUUAAUAGC
rnacentral:lncRNA from 1 species